UUUGGACUGCGAAUGGCUCAUUAUAUCAGUUAUAGUUUAUUUGGUGAAGUGUACUACUUGGAUAACCGUAGUAAUUCUAGGGCUAAUACAUGAGAAAGUC
rnacentral:rRNA from 1 species